AAAAUGUCUAUCUUCAUAACAAAAAUAAAAUGUAAAGAUGGUUUGUAUUUAUUGUUCUCAAGUUAUUUUUCUAUAAUGUAAUUUUAAAUUAACCCAUUCUAAGCAACCAAAUAAUGUUUUUACUAAAUAUCCAUGUGAAAUUUAUGUUUUUAAUUGAUAUUGAAAUAACUUUUUUCCACAGCUUAAUAUUUCUAUAUAAAUUGUUAACCACCAAUUAAAAUUUUUUCAUGUUAGACAUAUUAUAAUGUUUCAUGUUCAACAUACUGUUAUCUUUGUGUCAAGUAAAAUUCAUUGGUUAUUCUGCUUCUCACUGCCUUACCUGUUAGAUUCAUGUUUUUCAGUUAACCGAACCUGUCAUCAAUAAUAAAUACAUUAAAUGUGUGUCAAGUUUCCCAUGUUAGUGAUACAAAUCUUUUGAUUCAUAGAGGCAUGGUCUUGGCAUGAAAUUAAGGGUUGUCAGUUGUAGUGGUUUUUGUGGUUUUUUUUUUAUAGUCACCACUAUUUGCAUAAAUAUCUUUUAUUUUCCACUGCUUCUCUGUGAUAGUUGUUCAUCUUUGAUUCCAGUUGUCAUAAGAAUUAAUGUGAUUUAGUUUCUUUUGAAAUAUUCAUUUCAUUUCCCUAGAAAUGGUUGAUUAAAGCUCUUAUAAAUGGAUGUAGAAUAAAGGGGGGAGGAAGAGAUUGAGAAUUGAUUUCAUGUUCCAUGGUAUUAUUUCGUAUUAGUAAGAAGUCUAACUUGAUGUGAUGGUUCUUCCUUGUGUAAUUGAAAUCUGUUUUAAUAAAGACAAAAAUCCACCUCGAAAGGCAACAAGGUGUCCGGAUUGAAUUUCGGGAAUAAAAAUGUUUCAAACAGUUGGCAUCAUUUAUUUUCACAUAUCCUAGAUAUAAUGCUGUUAUUAUUACUAUAAAAAUGAAUAACUCUCAUUCUUAGGAACAGCUAGGGUCGAGCUUCUUUAAAUGGAAACAAAAUUCUUUGUAGUAGCCCCCUUAUUUGCAUUUCAUCACCAUAGAAUAAUAUUGUUUAGGUUCUGUGAGGAUUUGUUUCAGUACAUUUAGUAGACAUCUUGAAAGCAGCGUCAGAAUCCCCCCCUUUUUUUUAACCCUGGCGUAAGGUCUGUCUGGUACCGUGUUUUCCUUCACUCGAUAACAUCUAUAUAUUUUUUAGACCCUCCUCCUCUGAUUCUCUCUACCUACUCGAGAGUUUGUUUCCUUUGAUCGCACAUCUCAGGUUCCGUAAUUUGCUCAUUCCCCCAACUCUGGAGUUUUUAAAUACAUAUUUUUGACAAAGUGAUAUAACUGCAAUAUCUUUUUUUUUAAUUAAUUCAUUUUUUUUAAAAUGGAAUAUUGAAAGAUAACAAUGUCUUUGAUAAUCUUCUCUUAUUGUCUGCUACACUGUUAAUUUUAUCAUUAGAUUUCCUGUCACGUUUGUAUUAUGGAUUUGGUUUGUAUUCAAUCUGUCUACGGGAGCAUCGUCACUUACUGUAGCAGUUUUGUUUUGUCAUGAUUUUAAAUACGUUUUUUAUUAAGAUCGCUCUCUAUUUUUUUUUUCUUGUUUUUUUUUUUUUU